CUAAACAUAUUACCGAAACUGUGGAUGAACCUCUUUAGAGGUUCGUGGUAGGAGAGCGUUCUAAGGGCGGUGAAGUCAGACCGGAAGGACUGGUGGAGCGCUUAGAAGUGAGAAUGCCGGUAUGAGUAGCGAAAGAAGGGUGAGAAUCCCUUCCACCGAAUAUCUAAGGUUUCCUGAGGAAGGCUCGUCCGCUCAGGGUUAGUCGGGACCUAAGCCGAGGCCGAUAGGCGUAGGCGAUGGACAACAGGUAGAGAUUCCUGUACCAGUGCUAAUUGUUUAACCGAUGGGGUGACACAGAAGGAUAGGGAAUCGCACGAAUGGAAAUGUGCGUCCAAGCAGUGAGUGUGAGAAGUAGGCAAAUCCGCUUCUCGCGAAGCAUGAGCUGUGAUGGGGAAGGAAAUUAAGUACGGAAGUUCCUGAUUUCACGCUGUCAAGAAAAGCCUCUAGGAAGAGUAGUACUGCCCGUACCGCAAACCGACACAGGUAGAUGAGGAGAGAAUCCUAAGGUGAGCGAGAGAACUCUCGUUAAGGAACUCGGCAAAAUGACCCCGUAACUUCGGGAGAAGGGGUGCUCUAUUAGGGUGCAAGCCCGAGAGAGCCGCAGUGAAUAGGCCCAGGCGACUGUUUAGCAAAAACACAGGUCUCUGCAAAACCGUAAGGUGACGUAUAGGGGCUGACGCCUGCCCGGUGCUGGAAGGUUAAGAGGAGUGCUUAGCUUCGGCGAAGGUACGAAUUGAAGCCCCAGUAAACGGCGGCCGUAACUAUAACGGUCCUAAGGUAGCGAAAUUCCUUGUCGGGUAAGUUCCGACCCGCACGAAAGGCGCAACGAUCUGGGCACUGUCUCAACGAGAGACUCGGUGAAAUUAUAGUACCUGUGAAGAUGCAGGUUACCCGCGACAGGACGGAAAGACCCCGUGGAGCUUUACUGCAACCUGAUAUGGAAUGUUUGUACCGCUUGUACAGGAUAGGUAGGAGCCGAAGAGACGUGUGCGCUAGCAUACGAGGAGGCAAUGGUGGGAUACUACCCUGGCUGUAUGACCAUUCUAACCCGCCACGCUUAGCGCGUGGGGAGACAGUGUCAGGUGGGCAGUUUGACUGGGGCGGUCGCCUCCUAAAGAGUAACGGAGGCGCCCAAAGGUUCCCUCAGAAUGGAUGGAAAUCAUUCGCAGAGUGUAAAGGCACAAGGGAGCUUGACUGCGAGACUGACAAGUCGAGCAGGGACGAAAGUCGGGCUUAGUGAUCCGGUGGUUCCGCAUGGAAGGGCCAUCGCUCAACGGAUAAAAGCUACCCCGGGGAUAACAGGCUUAUCUCCCCCAAGAGUCCACAUCGACGGGGAGGUUUGGCACCUCGAUGUCGGCUCGUCGCAUCCUGGGGCUGUAGUCGGUCCCAAGGGUUGGGCUGUUCGCCCAUUAAAGCGGCACGCGAGCUGGGUUCAGAACGUCGUGAGACAGUUCGGUCCCUAUCCGUCGCGGGCGCAGGAAAUUUGAGAGGAGCUGUCCUUAGUACGAGAGGACCGGGAUGGACACACCGCUGGUGUACCAGUUGUUCCGCCAGGAGCAUCGCUGGGUAGCUAUGUGUGGCAGGGAUAAACGCUGAAAGCAUCUAAGCGUGAAGCCCCCCUCAAGAUGAGAUUUCCCAUUUCUUCGGAAAGUAAGAUCCCUGAAAGAUGAUCAGGUAGAUAGGUUUGGAGUGGAAGUGUAGCGAUACAUGGAGCGGACAAAUACUAAUCGAUCGAGGACUUAACCAAAAA
rnacentral:rRNA from 1 species